CCUACGGGAGGCAGCAGUGGGGAAUAUUGCACAAUGGGGGAAACCCUGAUGCAGCGACGCCGCGUGCGUGAAGAAGUAUUUCGGUACGUAAAGCUCUAUCAGCAGGGAAGAAAAUGACGGUACCUGACUAAGAAGCCCCGGCUCACUACGUGCCAGCAGCCGCGGUAAUACGUAGGGGGCAAGCGUUAUCCGGAUUUACUGGGUGUAAAGGGAGCGUAGACGGCAGCGCAAGUCUGGAGUGAAAUCCCAUGGCUUAACCAUGGAACUGCUUUGGAAACUGUGCAGCUAGAGUGCAGGAGAGGUAAGCGGAAUUCCUAGUGUAGCGGUGAAAUGCGUAGAUAUUAGGAGGAACACCGGUGGCGAAGGCGGCUUACUGGACUGUAACUGACGUUGAGGCUCGAAAGCGUGGGGAGCAAACAGGAUUAGAUACCCGUGUAGUC
rnacentral:rRNA from 1 species